rnacentral:rRNA from 1 species
UGCCUGAUACGCGACCCCAGGUCAGGCGGGAUCACCCGCUGAGU